GGAGCGCGCAGCCCCCCCCCUCCCCUGCCUGUUCUCUCUCUCUCGCUCGCUGUUCCCGGCCUGAGGGGCGCGCCCGGGGCCGGGGUGUGUGUGAGGAGACCGGCUCCCGCCCCGCGCCCCCUUCCCCCCGGAGAAGGGGAGUUAUCCCUCUGUGAGGCAGAGGGCGGGGAGGGGUAACCGACGGCCGGAGCCGGGCGGGUCCCUCAGGGUUCCCCUCCGCGGUCCGGCCUCUCGCCGUGCGCUCCUCCCGCCCUCCCCACAGGCGCUGGGUCCCUCCCGGCGGGUCCCUCCGCCGCCUUUAGGGCCGUGUUUGUUCGGGGGGGGGCCCCGUUGGCACGGCUGACACUGGCCAUGCGCAAACAACGUGCACUUCGGCAAACAAUUCAACCUUUCCGCAUCCCCGCAGCCUGCUGGAAACUCGCUCGCUUCUUUUUCCUCCUCUCCUCUUCGCUUGUUUAUAACUGACGCUAUCUCGCCUGCACCGCUCCCUCAGUUUCAUUAUCUCUUCCUCCCAGAUGGCCUGUAUCUUUCCCUCCUUCGCAGGGUUCCUCCCCGCGCUUGCUUCGGUUUCUUCCCCUUCUCUUCCCCGCUCUCCAUCCCUCACCCUUGCCCACAGGUGAUGGUCCCACCAGCUUCUCCUUCUGCCCCUCAGCCCACGCUCUGGGGCUUCUCCGGUUUCUGCCUGCAGCUGCCCGGGCCCUGCUGUGGCUCCUGCUUCCCUGAAUCCCGUUUACUGUUUCCCAGAUGAGCCUUUUCCUUUCUGCUGCCUGCAAAGUGCUCUGCUCCAGCGGUGAGUCCUUUCUCUGAAGACACCACCGUUUGAAAAGAGCCUUCUUCUCAGCUGUACCCGAGAUUUCACCUGUGUGGCUGCAACUCCGAUGCUGUCUAGGAAUUAAUAUAGAUGACCCCCACCGCUCCGACCGGAGCAGCAUGUUGGUGCUCUCAGAUAAUCUCCACGGAGUGCUUGAUGCUCUCGAGUGUUCAGGACUUUUGCCGAGCUAUCGACAGACCCCGAGCGCAACAAGAGCAGCGAACGCCUUCCGAACGAUCCUGUUCAGAGCCGAGCGUGAACGCGUGUUUCUGCCACGUGCCCAGUUCUGUUUCCAGGGAACAAGGUGGGAAGAAAACGUUGCUGAAAACACUGAUGCAUAACACUUUGGCAGAGAUGGUUAUCGUGUCUUCUCGUCAUUUUUACCUAUGGUGCUGCCCUGACAACUGCGGUAUAUUAUGGAAAUAAAAUGUGAAGUCACUCUGGUCUGACUUCUGCUGCUUGCAGAGUAGACAAAUACAUUAAAUACCUUUUGAGAGAGGUAAGAGAAAAACGCGUGCUUCUGCAGCGAAGGAGAAAUAUCGGCCCUGGGGUACUGAAAGCACAGCAAAUAUUUGUUAAAAAGAGGAGUUGGGGGGCAAAAUAAUACAUAAAUAAUAAACCCGGAAUCUUGAAUUGGGGAAUGGAAGUGCUGACAGUCACCUUGAUAAGCAAAAAUCAAAUAACCCUCAUGCUUUGUGGCGCGCACUAAACUCUUAAUGACACGGUCAGGAAAAACCAUAAACCCAUCACAGGCUUUUCCGUAAUUCCCCACCAAAGGGAAUUUUCCUCCAGGCUGCAGCUUUCGGAGGCUCUGCGCGAUUUGUACCUAGUCAGAGGUUACGUGUCAGGAGAUUUGGACAGCUGAGUUAUUUAAAAAGGAUUCCUCUAAAAGGGAAUUUGGUGCAGACCGAGUUGGCUGCUGCGCUACUUACGUGUGACCCCGUCUUGUCACUGCGUGCCUGAAACCCUCCCACAUAUUGCCUGUUAAUUUGGUAAAUUAUUUCCUAGAUCGCUUAGAAAACAAAGCAAAGAGCUGAAAUCACCUCUCAGUAUUUCUUCGGUUCAAACAAACAAACAAGCAGAUUGUGUGUCUUAUGUGUCUAGUCAAAACAUCUCAGUUAUUAAUAUUAAACUCCUGGUGCCUGAAUAAGCCGUGAAGCUGAAGCAUGGCUGAAAAUACUUUAAAAAAAAAAAUAUUCCACCAUCUUCAGCUGAUGUUUCUGCAAGGUAGCAAGAAGAACCUCCGCUCUCCUCUGAAAUGACAGGGCACGAUUUUAUUAAAUCC